GAUGAACGCUGGCGGCGUGCCUAAUACAUGCAAGUCGAGCGAAGCGGGGACGGGUGAGUAACAAGUGGAUAACCUACUAUAAGACUGGGAUAACAUCGGGAAACAGGAGCUACCCCGGAUACUUAUAGAUGGAUCCGCGCUGCAUUAGCUAGGUGGUAAGGGAAAGGCUUACCUAGGAAACGAUGCAUAGCCGACCUGAGAGGGUUAUCGUCCACACUGGACCUUAAGCACUGUCCAAACGCCUACGGGUGGCAGCAGUAGGGAAUCUGCCGAAAGGGGCUAAAGCCUGACGGAGCAACGCCGCGUGAGUGAUGAAGGUCUUCGGAUCGUAAAACUCGGUUAUUAGGGCAGCGGUACCUAAACAGAAAGCCACGGCUAACUACGUGCCAGCAGCCGCGGUAAUAC
rnacentral:rRNA from 1 species